UGCAUUCACUACUCCAAGUCGCUCUGGAUAAGAGCGUCUGCUAAAUGACUAAAA
rfam:Salmo salar isolate Sally breed double haploid chromosome ssa11, whole genome shotgun sequence.